AAUGAAUUGCCUGAGUAAAGGAUUAUCUUGAUAGGAUAAAUUACAUGGAAAACCCCAUAUUCAUUA
rnacentral:tRNA from 1 species